UGCAACGCAGAUGGGUCCACAAAACAAAAACAGUUAUUUACUACAUAACUUACAGUAAACUACACUCUGUGUAUUUUCUGGUAAGGUACUGUAGUUUGGAUUAGGCGGGACAAGCAUCUAAAAGCUGUUUGCCAGCCGCUAUUAACUUUAAACAAAAGAAGAGGACGAAGAAGACGGUGGGACAAUUACAAAUCAGUGAUCAGCCUUGGUGGAGAGAGGCCACUCCGUUGCGCAUCAGGAGGCAGGAACCGACAUUCCAAGGAACGGGGUGUGUACCAGGCUCCAAGAGAGUCCAGGCAGAGAGAGGAACCUUGAGGGUGGCCAUGUGCUCUGCUGGGCUGUCUAACUUUGUAAAGUUGUGUCAUCAGGAGGCAGGACGUGACCUUCCAGAGAAGCAGGCGCGUACCAGGCUCCAGAAAAAUCCAGGCGGGAGAGUGGAACCUUUAGACUGGCCACAAGCCUCUGGCACUGGGCACUGGGCUGUCUAACCAGAGCAUCAGAUAACGAUUCUUUGUGAGAAUCAACCCAGAGGAGGGAAGCAAAUGCACGGCUAAAGUUGGCACAAGCAGGAGGACAGGAGCGGUGGUGAAAAGAAAGACGUCAGCUAUGAAUUCUCGCGUCACAACCUUUCUCCGACGCCUCACAGAAUUCGAAUGGAAGACCUCGAACUAGAAAGACGCUCUCCACUGAAGUCCUUCCAACAUCCUGCUAACCAACCUUUCCGAGUUUGUUAGAGCAGAGGUGCAUCUGUUAAUGUUGUAUGUUUUUAAAGUUAUGUUGACUUUUAUAUUAUUGUUCAUAUUGUAUGACAC